rnacentral:rRNA from 1 species
AGCAGCCGCGGUAAUUCCAGCUCCAAUAGCGUAUAUUAAAGUUGUUGCAGUUAAAAAGCUCGUAGUUGAAUUUCGGGGUUAGUAAGUUGGUCGUACCACUGGUAUGUACUGGCUUUGCUGAUUCCUCCCCUUGAAGAACUGUAAUGCCAUUAAUUUGGUGCUGCAGGGAAUCAGGACUGUUACUUUGAAAAAAUUAGAGUGUUUAAAGCAGGCUAACGCUUGAAUACAUUAGCAUGGAAUAAUAAAAUAGGACAUUCGAUCCUAUUUUGUUGGUUUCUAGGAUUGACGUAAUGAUUAAUAGGGAUAGUUGGGGGCAUUAGUAUUCAAUUGUCAGAGGUGAAAUUCUUGGAUUUAUUGAAGACUAACUACUGCGAAAGCAUUUGCCAAGGAUGUUUUCAUUAAUCAAGAACGAAAGUUAGUGGAUCGAAGACGAUCAGAUACCGUCGUAGUCUUAACCAUAAACUAUGCCGACUAGGGAUCGGAUGAUGUUAAUUUUUAAUGACUCAUUCGGCGCCUUAAC